rnacentral:rRNA from 1 species
GGUUGAUCCUGCCAGUAGUCAUAUGCUUGUCUCAAAGAUUAAGCCAUGCAUGUCUAAGUAUAAACAACUUUAUACUGUGAAACUGCGAAUGGCUCAUUAAAUCAGUUAUAGUUUAUUUGAUUAUCUUUUACUACUUGGAUAACCGUGGUAAUUCUAGAGCUAAUACAUGCAAAAAAUCGCGACUUCUUGGAAGCGAUGUAUAUAUUAGAUAAAAAACCAAUGCGGGCAACCGCUUUUUUGGUGAUUCAUAAUAUCUGUUCGAAUCGCAUGGCCUUGUGCUGGCGAUGUCUCAU